UUUACUUCUGGGAACCUGUUUCCUUCUCUGUACAAAGGGGAUAAAAAUAGCCCUUACUUCAUAGGAAGUGGUGAGAACUCAGUGGGAUAAUAAGAUUUGGGAUGAGGUAGUGCUACCCCUGGGAGGUCAUAAUAUAUCAAUAUUUAUGUUUUAUUACCAGGUGCCCUGUUCCAGCUGCCUCCCUGGCCCCAGCACGAGGCCCAGUCAACUUUGUAUUGUCACUUGAGACAGAGGGUAUGAAUGGCUCAAAGUGGAGUAGUGAGCAGGCCCACAUGGCUUGAAAAGAGGCCCUGUUCACAGGGAGCUAAAAAGAAUCUUGAGGACAUACCAGGUUCCCAGAGAUCCCACAUCUUUAGCCACGUAGAUAUGCUCCCCCAAGUUCCUUCGUGUUCUUCACUUCAUCUCUUCCCUUUGUUUCGUUUUUGUUUUUUGGCCACACUGGGUGGCAUGCGGGAUCUUAGUUCCCAGACCAGGGAUCAAACCUAUGCCCCCUGCAUUGGGAGUGUGGAGUCUUAACCACUGGAUCCCCAGGGAAUUUCCCAUCUAUUCCUUUUGAAUGACCAGACAAGCAAGUGCCCAAAUGAUGCUAAAGGUGCGCUUCAGGCCUGCCUGGUAUAGCCACCUUGGCCUCAGCUCCACUGAUUUUAUCAGACUCAUGCUGCUUACCACUAGGGCCAGGACCUUACAUUUUUCAGGUUUUUUUUCCAUGUGCUUUUAUAAAUCCAUAAAGGCAAAACGCAAGACGAUAUGAGAAUAACUGCAUAGGUGCCCUGUGCCCCAGAGGGUCACUGGAACAGAACGGUUGACUAGAGUCACAGGGUACCAGAGGACCAGCAUCUUCAAGGAGCACCUACUGUGUGCCAGGUAUUGUGCUGGGUGCUUGGCACAAAUAGGUGUAUGCAGUCCUUACAACAACCUUAUGAGGCAGGUAUUCUUCUUGUACCCAUUUCACAGAGGAGCAAAGCAAGGCUCACAGAUACCGUGACCUGCCCACGUCAGUCAGCAACCAGCCAGUACCCGGUACAGUAGGGAGCUAGACUGGCGUGUGCGCCUCUAGAGUUUGCUCUUGUCACUUUUCUCCUACAAGGAAACCGCCUAUGCCCAAUGGUCCAUGUGCCUAAAAUUCAAAAUCUCUUUUAAUUGUUUUUGGUUAUAUUUACUUGCAACCAUUGGAAUAUCCUAGUAUUAAAAACUGAAUUUAAAAUAAAGCACAUUCAAUUGGAAUGUUUUUCUGAAUAACAGGAACUGUAUCUACUUUUUUUUUGGCCGUGGCUUGCGGGAUCCUACUUCCCCAACCAGGGAUUGAACCUGCGCCCUCGGCUGUGAAAGUGCAGAGUCCUAACCACUGGACCACCAGGGAAUUCUGUGGGAACUGUAUCUUUUUUUUUUUUUUAAUGUAUCUACUUUUGAACAUGCAAUUUCUAUUACCCAGAAAAUACUAUUGAAAGUGAUUUGAAUUGGUUGUGCUUUAAAAUCCAGGAAAUGGUUUAAAAUCCAGGAAAAAAUGGAUCCCUGGAUGGAAGUGAUUUUUGGCUGCCUGAGGGUCCUCCUACCCACCCAGGGCUGGGAAUCUCCUCCACUUCCUGAGGUCUGUCCAAUCUUCUGAUCUCCCCAUGCCAGGGCCAGCCCCUGGAGGGGGUAUAUCCCCAAGCACUUCUGUUAAAAGUCUGGAAAGAAUCUAGGAGGUCUGGACUCCCACCGAGGGCCCAAGGGAUUUGGGUGGGGUUCUUGGGACUGAAAAUCAGGACCCUCGGCAGGUCUUCUGAGUCAUUCCCCAGGGUGCCUUUCUGAGAGAGGCUGUUUAGAAAGCUAAAUCUUACAGUUCCUGGGAUUCUGAGUUGACCCGGGGGACCAGAGUCCUGGAAUUUGUAGGAUGUGGGCUGUCGUGGACAAUCAAGGCUUUGUGGUAGGGACUUGGCACAGAUAUGGGGCAGAGCCAGGAAGGCGAUUGCUGCUUCCCUGAGGGCCCAGGGCACAGCCUCUUGCCUUCCCCAGGACUUCUGGUGUGCCAGGCUGUCCCUCCUGGCCACGCUGGAUGGGUGUGUGAGGAAAGGGCGUCACUCACCUGCUAUGGGCACCGAGUUCGGGUGGGACUUCUGCCCGCUCAGCUCCAGAAAGGAGUUGAGCCACGAGGAGGCACCCAGGCGGAGGUCUCGGAAGAGCAGGGCUGUGUCCCGCUGCACCAGCCCCACCAUGCCCAGCGCCUUCUGGUCCGAGUCACAGUGGUCCUCGGUCUCCCCACCUGGGAGUGUACAUGGGGGGCUGAGUUGGUCUCUUCUCUUUCUGGGCCCAGUCUGAACACCCAGAACCUCAGGCAUCUGUGCCCCCAGGGACCCAGAAUAUCUGAUGGCUUCAGCAGGAACAAGGAGUCUCAGAUUCCCUCUCCUUCAUACCCAACGAGACAGGGCUCUAGUCUCUGACCCCAGAGGACCCAGGAGGCUGGGGCGGGCUCGGGGAGCUGGUGGUAGUGAGGGGCUCAGGCUCACCAAGGAGGGCACAGUGCUUGACGGCCCAGCAGUAGGCGUAGAAGCACUCCUCCAGCGCCCGGGGGAAGGGGGCCUCGGGGGCCAGGGAGUAGUCGAUGGAGAGGAUGGGGGCGCCCAGCUCCUGGGCCCAGCUCUUGAGUGCUCCCCGAAGGACACCAGCCCGAUGGAGAUGGUCUGCAGGAAUGGCCGGAUGGCGGGCGUGAACUGUGGAGACAUGCCUCCAAGUCAGGGACCAGGAGCGGGCAGGAGUGGGGUGGGGCAGAGACAUAGGGGGUAGAUGUGGUCAUUCAGCAAACAUUUAGUGAGCUCUGGCUGCGUGCCAGGCACUGCUCUAGGCACCUUCAUGGAGCUGAUGUUGUCGAAAAGACAGACAAUACUCAAAUAAAGGCAUGCCAUAUAA